UAGAUGACAGUGUACACAUGGAGGCAGAUGAAAACGAUAGCUGGCUCCAUAGGGGAGAUUUGGGAGAAAAUAAAGACAUACUUCAUGUGGGGACAGGUGAAUCAGAAGGCUACUUUUGGUGAGAUGGAAG